UACAGAGGUCUCAAGCGUUGUUCGGAUUCAUUGGGCGUAAAGGGUGCGUAGGUGGCGCGCUAAGUCAGGUGUGAAAUUUCGGAGCUUAACUUCGAAACUGCAUUUGAUACUGGCGUGCUUGAGGACUGGAGAGGAGACUGGAAUUCAUGGUGUAGCAGUGAAAUGCGUAGAGAUCAUGAGGAAGACCAGUGGCGAAGGCGGGUCUCUGGACAGUUCCUGACACUGAGGCACGAAGGCCAGGGGAGCAAACAGG
rnacentral:rRNA from 1 species